rnacentral:lncRNA from 1 species
AAGAAUUCUGAAGCCGUGAGUGCACUUAUGGACGCUAUCCUGCUACCCACUCAAGUAGGCAUCAUCAAGAUGGCAUCUCACGUGAAGAUCACAGAUGGAAUCUCAAGAGGAAACCACAAAGCAGACGAAGCUGCCAAGCAAGCAGCAAUUCAAGUUCAUCCCUCUACAGGUAAUACCUUCCUACAAGUUGUUCUUACAGAUGACGCUGUUGACUAAAAUAUACUGUUGAGCUUACAAAGACAGGCAAGCAAGGAAGAACAUGACCUCUGGAGGAAACAAGAUGCAGAACCUGAUGAUGACAGAAUGUGGAGGAAAGGUAAAAGACUGUAUUUGCCACGAGUGUUGUACCCCAUGAUGGCCCAGAUUGCCCAUGGACCUACACAUCUAUCCAAGAGGCACAUGAACAGCAUAGUAAACACCCAAUGGGUAGCACCCGGAUUUACUGUUGUAGCAGCUAAAUACAUCCAAGCUUGCAUGAUUUGUGCUAGAAACAAUCCAGGACAGGCUGUCAAAACACCAAGUAAGCACACACCAAGGCCACUUUACCCAUUUCAAAGACUGCAGAUAGACUAUAUUCAACUACCUAAGGUAGGAGUGUAUGAAUAUGUGUUGGUGUGCAUUGAUCUCUUUUCAGGUUGGCCUGAGGCCUACCCUUGCCAUAACGAAGGUCACAGCAAGAUCACUUCUGAAGGAACUGGUAUGUAGAUACAGAGUACCUGAAGUGAUUGAAAGUGACAGAGGUAGCCAUUUCACUGGGGAAAUAAUGCAAGAAAUUAUGAAAGGCUUAGGGAUCAGUCAGGCCUUCCACACCCCCUAUCACCCCCAGAGUAGUGGGAAAGUAGAAAGGGCAAAUGGCACCUUAAAGAACAAGAUUGCAAAAGCCAUGCAAGACACAGGAAAGCCCUGGACUGAAUGCCUUCCCCUAGCACUCUUUUCUAUGAGAUUCACCCCCAAUUCCAGACAUGGCCUAUCCCCUUUUGAGAUCCUUUUUGGAUGUGCCCCAAAGACAGGUCUCUAUUUUACCCAAAACCUCCAGAUGCAGCAUGGUAGUAUGACCGCCUAUGUUCAGGCCCUACACCAAAGAUUAGGCAGGAUGCAUAAACAAGUCUUUGAUUCUAUUCCAGAUCCAGACUCUGAUUCUGCAACUCACAAACUGCAGCCUGGUGAUUGGGUGGUGAUAAAGAGGCAUGUGAGGAAAGGACUUGAACCACGCUUUGAUGGUCCAUUCCAAGUGCUCUUGACUACGGCUACCUCAGUGAAACUAGAAGGAAAACCACGUGGAUACACGCCAGUCACUGUAAACAAGUCACUCCGACUGAUCCACCGACAUGAAGCUGUUCUUAUCCUUUACCAUUUUAUGCUGUAUUCGGAUAUGCUACUCUGACUUGAGACCAGAAAAUUAUAAUGCAUGGCAGGAAAAUAUAUGGUUGCAGAUAGCAAAGGCUUUUAAUUUAACCUCCUUUUGCCUCAACCCUCUUCUCAGUACUGAAAACGCCAUAUAAUCUUGUCAUAUAGCUGUCCCUACCCCCAUCUCACUGUUGAGGAAGUACCUACACACCCAUAGCACCUAUAAAUCUCUACAACUAUAUUCUUAUGCCUUCAACCCACUUGUAGGCAAGCCUCCUCUAGCCCUGAAGACAAUUAAUGUGACAGGCGCUGAACUAUGUUGGUCUUUUUCAUGUAAUUGUUCAAGAGACCCUAAUAAUGAAUCCCUGUUUUGCCCCACAUGGUGGAAAAGUACCAAGAAUUGUAGAGCCCUGAGCACCACUAUGAAUUGUACCAAAACUCACCAAGUUAUGAGUUACCACUACGAUGUCUAUCUUCCUAAAGGAUGGACUUUCUCCUGUGGAAAUAUUACUUAUGCUUAUGUCACAGGUAACAUUACAGGAGGUCCCUGUGCAAUCUCUUGCCUAACCAUGACCAUGUUUUCCAAAUCUGACCUGAUCACUAAAACCACCCAGCUACACAAACUGCUGAGAGACAGGAGAGAUGUUAAAAACACCCUUAAUGCAGAUUGUAACCCUGAAAUCACUCUCUUAUCUAAAGCCAAAUACUCUUCCCUAGCGUACACCUUGGUAAGAGUCCCAGGCUUAGCACUGUAUAAUACCCGAGUAGUUAAUGCUGUAGCCUGUUCCCUUGCAAAAGGUUUACAUGCCACUUCACAGGCCCUAGAAGAGCUAUUUAUGGACAACCAGGCAAAUAAGAAGGCAAUCCUUGAGAAUAGAGCAGCCAUUGACUACUUACUAAUGAAACAUGACUUAGGCUGUGAAGCUAUUGAAGGUAUGUGCUGUUUUAACCUAUCUGACCAUGGCACUAUGAUCCAUAAACAUAUAAAAGAUUUACAUGACUUAGUACAGGAUAUCAAACAGGAUACUGGCUUCUUUGGGGAUUGGGAUUGGACAUUUGGGCUAGGAACAUGGUUGACUUUACUUAUUAAGAAAAUGUUGUACUUUUUGCUAUUAGCUGUAUUUGUCAUUAUGGCCAUUUUUCUAACCUUUUGAUUUUUCUCAUGUCUACUAACCUCUCUAUGUAAAAGCAAACCUACUGUUGGUCGUACCUUAACUUACAUUCCAGCUCCGACUUCGGAAAGGUUUUAUGAUGUUACCUCGCCUAACAAAUGAAGGAACUCUCCUCCGCUAAUUCUGGUGGUCUCUCAGUCCAAGGGAACCAUGGUGAAGCAAUAAAUGAAAGUCCCACAGGCUUUGGCUAGCAGGCCUGGAAAUACCUUGGACAUUUGGGUGACCCUUGGAUCAAAAGAGGGGAUUGUGAUAGAAUUUAUCUUGAUUCCAAGGCUCAAGCUUAUAGGUGUCAUAUAAUGAUAUCCUAUAUUAAAAUUGGCUAACUUGGACUCAGGAAAUGCUUGAUGCUUAAACAACACUUAAGACCAUUUAUGUCUAGUUCCGGGAGCAGAGAGCCCCCACCUAAGAUGUCUCUUCUCUAAUCUUUUUGCUCUUUCUUACCUUGGAACUUAUUUGUUUUGUGUACAUGACGUUCAUCCCUAUGUCUUAUCUGUAUUCUCUUCCUAUUACUGUUCUAAGAGUAUUUGCACGUAAGCACUUACUUUUUAAUGUAUAAAACCCAGCUGAUGAAUAAAAUGUCAGAG